rnacentral:rRNA from 1 species
UGAGGAAUAUUGGUCAAUGGGCGAGAGCCUGAACCAGCCAAGUAGCGUGCAGGACGACGGCCCUAUGGGUUGUAAACUGCUUUUAUAAGGGAAUAAAGUGAGUCUCGUGAGGCUUUUUGCAUGUACCUUAUGAAUAAGGACCGGCUAAUUCCGUGCCAGCAGCCGCGGUAAUACGGAAGGUCCGGGCGUUAUCCGGAUUUAUUGGGUUUAAAGGGAGCGUAGGCCGGAGAUUAAGCGUGUUGUGAAAUGUAGACGCUCAACGUCUGCACUGCAGCGCGAACUGGUUUCCUUGAGUACGCACAAAGUGGGCGGAAUUCGUGGUGUAGCGGUGAAAUGCUUAGAUAUCACGAAGAACUCCGAUUGCGAAGGCAGCUCACUGGAGCGCAACUGACGCUGAAGCUCGAAAGUGCGGGUAUCGAACA